rnacentral:rRNA from 1 species
AGAGUUUGAUCCUGGCUCAGGACGAACGCUGGCGGCAUGCCUAAUACAUGCAAGUCGAACGCUCAGCUUUCCCUCGGGAAAGCUCGGGAGUGGCGGACGGGUGAGUAACACGUAGGCAACCUGCCUGUAAGCCGGGGAUAACUCACGGAAACGUGAGCUAAGACCGGAUAGACGAGAGGAAGGCAUCUUCUUCUUGGGAAAGACGGAGCAAUCUGUCGCUUACAGAUGGGCCUGCGGCGCAUUAGCUAGUUGGUGAGGUAACGGCUCACCAAGGCGACGAUGCGUAGCCGACCUGAGAGGGUGAACGGCCACACUGGGACUGAGACACGGCCCAGACUCCUACGGGAGGCAGCAGUAGGGAAUCUUCGGCAAUGGACGCAAGUCUGACCGAGCAAUGCCGCGUGAGUGAGGAAGGCCCUCGGGUCGUAAAGCUCUGUUACCAGGGAAGAACGCUUAGGAGAGUAACUGCUCUUAAGGUGACGGUACCUGAGAAGAAAGCCCCGGCUAACUACGUGCCAGCAGCCGCGGUAAUACGUAGGGGGCAAGCGUUGUCCGGAAUUAUUGGGCGUAAAGCGCGCGCAGGCGGCUAAUUAAGUCUUAUGUAUAACCCCAAGGCUCAACCUUGGAUCGCAUGGGAAACUGGUUGGCUUGAGUGUAGGAGAGGAAAGUGGAAUUCCACGUGUAGCGGUGAAAUGCGUAGAUAUGUGGAGGAACACCAGUGGCGAAGGCGACUUUCUGGCCUAUAACUGACGCUGAGGCGCGAAAGCGUGGGGAGCAAACAGGAUUAGAUACCCUAGUAGUCC